rnacentral:rRNA from 1 species
AUUGAACGCUGGCGGCAUGCUUUACACAUGCAAGUCGAACGGUAACAGGCCUUCGGGUGCUGACGAGUGGCGAACGGGUGAGUAAUGCAUCGGAACGUGCCCAGAGGUGGGGGAUAACGCAGCGAAAGCUGUGCUAAUACCGCAUGUGAUCUGAGGAUGAAAGCGGGGGACCAGGCAGCAAUGUUUGGCCUCGCGCCUUUGGAGCGGCCGAUGUCAGAUUAGGUAGUUGGUGGGGUAAAGGCCUACCAAGCCGACGAUCUGUAGCUGGUCUGAGAGGACGACCAGCCACACUGGGACUGAGACACGGCCCAGACUCCUACGGGAGGCAGCAGUGGGGAAUUUUGGACAAUGGGCGCAAGCCUGAUCCAGCAAUGCCGCGUGCGGGAAGAAGGCCUUCGGGUUGUAAACCGCUUUUGUACGGAACGAAAAGGCUCUGGCUAAUACCUGGGGCUGAUGACGGUACCGUAAGAAUAAGCACCGGCUAACUACG